UGCGUAACGCGUGGGAACCUGCCCUUAGGUUCGGAAUAACUCAGAGAAAUUUGAGCUAAUACCGGAUAAUGUCUUCGGACCAAAGAUUUAUCGCCUUUGGAUGGGCCCGCGUUGGAUUAGCUAGUUGGUGGGGUAAAGGCCUACCAAGGCGACGAUCCAUAGCUGGUCUGAGAGGAUGAUCAGCCACACUGGGACUGAGACACGGCCCAGACUCCUACGGGAGGCAGCAGUGGGGAAUAUUGGACAAUGGGCGAAAGCCUGAUCCAGCAAUGCCGCGUGAGUGAUGAAGGCCUUAGGGUUGUAAAGCUCUUUUACCCGAGAUGAUAAUGACAGUAUCGGGAGAAUAAGCUCCGGCUAACUCCGUGCCAGCAGCCGCGGUAAUACGGAGGGAGCUAGCGUUGUUCGGAAUUACUGGGCGUAAAGCGCACGUAGGCGGCUUUUUAAGUCAGGGGUGAAAUCCCGGGGCUCAACCCCGGAACUGCCUUUGAAACUGGGAAGCUAGAAUCUUGGAGAGGCGAGUGGAAUUCCGAGUGUAGAGGUGAAAUUCGUAGAUAUUCGGAAGAACACCAGUGGCGAAGGCGACUCGCUGGACAAGUAUUGA
rnacentral:rRNA from 1 species